AAAAAAAUAACGUCUUCUACGUUUUUGUCUUUCGUAGAGGAAACGAAACAGACUGAAGAGCAGAAGAAGGCCGGCGAGAAAGGAGCCCAAGUUGAAAAAGAUCAGACGAAGGAGGCUCCUUCAGAAACAGCAAAAGAAGGCGAGAAACAGGAAGAGAAGUGAUGUCAUUCAGUGCUUAUACUUGACUGUCACGUGACUUCAUCAGAAGGCCAUUUCGAGAAAUGCAAACUCCACAGAGCUCUCAGAUGAAUACAACUCACCUGUCGGAACUUACCUUUCCACAUUUUACCUGUUAUUUAAUUCCAA